rnacentral:lncRNA from 1 species
CCAAAUAAACCCCGAUGUCACGCACAUAAUCAUUCUUUUGCUUUGUCUCAAUCAGGAACAACAUAUCUGGGAGAUACAACCUUUGCAUCUCCUUUAGACGUCGAACUGUCAGGCGUUGCCCCAAGCCUCGACAGUUCCACACCUCAACUCUCAUGGUUCCUCUGGUGGUACCGGGCCCACCGCGCCUCUGUCAAUUGGGGGAACAGACUCCUGUUCCAUAUCGUCACCGUAGUCUCUCUGAAUUUUGCUGAGAGCACCAUAGUCCGAGCACAUAUUGAC